rnacentral:rRNA from 1 species
UACAGAGGUCCCAAGCGUUGUUCGGAUUCACUGGGCGUAAAGGGGGCGCAGGUGGGUUGGCAAGUUCGAUGUGAAAGCCCCGGGCUUAACCCGGGAAUGGCAUUGGAUACUGUUGAUCUGGAGGGUCGGAGGGGGGACUGGAAUUCUUGGUGUAGCAGUGAAAUGCGUAGAUAUCAUGAGGAAUACCAGAGGCGAAGGCGGCUACCUGGACAAUUGCUGACGCUCAGGCACGAAAGCGUGGGGAGCAAACAGG